rnacentral:rRNA from 1 species
CAGCAGUAGGGAAUUUUCGUCAAUGGGCGCAAGCCUGAACGAGCGAUGCCGCGUGAGUGAAGAAGGCCUUCGGGUCGUAAAGCUCUGUUGCGGGGGAAAAAAGGCAACUACAGGAAAUGGUAGAUGACAGAUGGUGCCCCGCCAGAAAGUCACGGCUAACUACGUGCCAGCAGCCGCGGUAAUACGUAGGUGGCGAGCGUUAUCCGGAAUGAUUGGGCGUAAAGGGUGCGCAGGCGGUCCUGCAAGUCUGGAGUGAAACGUAUGAGCUCAACUCAUGCAUGGCUCUGGAAACUGGAGGACUGGAGAGCAGGAGAGGGCGGUGGAACUCCAUGUGUAGCGGUAAAAUGCGUAGAUAUAUGGAAGAACACCAGUGGCGAAGGCGGCCGCCUGGCCUGUUGCUGACGCUGAGGCACGAAAGCGUGGGGAGCAAAUAGGAUUAGA